rnacentral:rRNA from 1 species
GACGAACGCUGGCGGCGUGCUUAACACAUGCAAGUCGUACGGUAAGGCCCUUUCGGGGGUACACUAGUGGCGAACGGGUGAGUAACACGUGAGUAACCUGCCCACAACUUUGGGAUAACGCUAGGAAACUGGUGCUAAUACUGGAUAUGUGCUCCUGCUGCAUGGUGGGGGUUGGAAAGCUCCGGCGGUUGUGGAUGGACUCGCGGCCUAUCAGCUUGUUGGUGGGGUAGUGGCCUACCAAGGCGGCGACGGGUAGCCGGCCUGAGAGGGUGACCGGCCACAUUGGGACUGAGAUACGGCCCAGACUCCUACGGGAGGCAGCAGUGGGGAAUAUUGCACAAUGGGCGCAAGCCUGAUGCAGCAACGCCGCGUGCGGGAUGACGGCCUUCGGGUUGUAAACCGCUUUCAGCAGGGACGAAGCUUUUUGUGACGGUACCUGCAGAAGAAGCACCGGCUAACUACGUG